CCUACGGGGGGCAGCAGUGGGGAAUAUUGCACAAUGGGGGGAACCCUGAUGCAGCGACGCCGCGUGGGUGAGGAAGUACUUCGGUAUGUAAAGCCCUAUCAGCAGGGAAGAAAUGACGGUACCUGACUAAGAAGCCCCGGCUAACUACGUGCCAGCAGCCGCGGUAAUACGUAGGGGGCAAGCGUUAUCCGGAUUUACUGGGUGUAAAGGGAGCGUAGACGGUUACGCAAGUCUGGAGUGAAAGGCGGGGGCCCAACCCCCGGACUGCUUUGGAAACUGUAUAACUGGAGUGCAGGAGAGGUAAG
rnacentral:rRNA from 1 species